rnacentral:rRNA from 1 species
CAUAAUAGCAAGCACUUCUAUAUAAUAGUGCACCAGGCACUAUUUUAAGAUCUUUACAGUAGGGUCGGGCCUGGUUAGUACUUGGAUGGGAGACCACUUAGGAAGACCAGGUGCUAUAAGCA